rnacentral:lncRNA from 1 species
ACGGGAACACCCCGCCGCCGCCACCUCUCUCCACGGGCGCCGCCGCGACCUUCCUUUCCGGCCACCGGCGCUGCCGCCACCUCCCUCUCCGGACAGCGGCUCCUUCUCCGCAGACCCCACCUCUACCCUAUACUUCGGCGCCUUCUCUCUCUUCUUUCUCCCCUGCCGCCGUCACCUAUCUUCCCUGGCCGCCGCCGCCCGAUCUGUGGUUGCCGGCGCCGCCGCCUUCCUUCGUCCGGUGGGAUGGAGCCGCCGCGGUACCUGCCAGCCUCCCGAGGUCCAGGGGUCCGGUUGCCCCUACUCCACGACUUCCUUCUCCCGCUGCCCCCUGAAAUCGACGGAUGGCCGAGGUCCAGACUCCAGAGGUCCGGCCGCCCAACCUACGACGGCAGCAGGCGUCCAUGGAGGACCUCCCCCCUCCGGCCCUCCUCCAGAAAUCGAGCCCUCUUCCCCCGUUCCGCCUCCAUUUGGCGUUGCUACCUCCCUCUCUGCUUUUUUUCUCUUUAGUUUGUAUUUAGAUGGAAUCUUUGAUGUAUACCGGCGCCGCUGCCCUGCUCCGGCGGGUGAAACAGUCCCUGCUCGCCUCCCGAGCUCCCGUGGUCUGGUGCCUCUCUCUCUCUCUUAUCUGCUUCUCCUCUCUCCCGGUGUCUUUGCCUGCCAUGUGCCUCUCUCGAACCAUCUUUUCACUAAACUAACGUGUAUCCACU